CAUGAAGCACUCCUGUCCACUGAAGACAUCCAGAGAGCACCCACAAGCAAGGUGGGACUUUAGGAAUGCAUUGGUCUUCAAACCACACCUGAUGUCUGCCUGUACUGAAAUUUACCUUAUACAUCUUAACCAGAAAUAGAAAGGAUGUUUCCACCUUUGAUCCUCCAACAAAAAUCUGAGGAUUUGAAACAGCAUCUUUCACAUGGGCUGAGCAUAAAGACCACUGCUGAGUGUCAGAUGGAUCUCUUUCCACCCAGGAAAAAGCACACCAAGGCAUUUUCAAGGUCAGUAGCCAAGCAGUGAAGAUUGGCUGAUGUCAAUCCCCAACCAGAGUAUCUGUAUAAUUGUUUUUCAGCACAAU